CUUCACUAGCCAUCCAUUCUCCUAAAUCCUUUGGAGGUAAAGCUUAAAACACAUUGACAUCCGAUUCAUCAUUACUGUUACUAAAUCAUUUAAGAAAUAUUUAUUCUAUUUAACUUACUAUGGAGGCCUCUUAUGUCAAAGUAAGAUGUAAAUUUGAGUGAGGGGAACUUGCUUCCCCUGUCCAUUCACCAGGAAUCAGUAGUCAUGGUAGUUUGAAGUCUCUGGAUGUGACACCCUUUUGGGAGAAGCAAGCUCCAUUUCGUCAGAUAAAUUCCUGAGAAAUUAAUGAUGGUGCUACUGGAGAUAAUUAACACUUAUGUAGGACUCUAAAGUUUAGAAAAUAUUUCUAUCUCAUGUCAUGGAGAAAAGUAAUCCUUUAAGGUAGAUUUGACUAUGCCUCUGUUCAAAAGAACAAAUCUUCAGCUAGUAAGUGGCUUGAAUGCAGGUUUCCUACACAAAUUCUAAUACUCUUCGUUGGAGCACAAGUAUGUCGCUCCUGCAGUGGAAUGACUCCAAUGCCCAGAAUGUGGGUUAAAGUGGGUGGUUCUCUCCCUUUUCCCCUCAAGGCUGAUGUGCUUUAGAAAUAUUAUUCUGGUCUCAGCUUGAAUUGUCCUUCAUGUCUGGCAUCACCUGUGCUUUCCUAACAGCCACAGUGCCCUGGGUGCACUGGCUCCCAGAGAACACUACUGCUACUUCAGAUUGCUUCUUUGUUCCUGGAGUUUGAUCUGUCACCUUGAGAUGCCACAGCCAUGGGGCUCCUUCCACCUCUCCUCUCCCAUUAUCACUAGGGGACAGCACAGCAGAUACCUACAGAGCACUUUGUUGAAGACUACUGGAUCACAAACUAUUCAGGGAAUGCAUCUGUCAAGCCUUUGGAGUUACGGUGGCAGAUCUCACAAAUUCAGGACUUUAUCCCUGCACAGCCAACCAGCAUGACUGAGGCUCAUUCCAUCCUUUAACGGAGCAUAAAUCACAGGUAUGUGAGUUGAUUCUUCUUAGUCCCCUACUCAGUAUACCAUACGGACUCCCCAAACAAUAUGUGAAGUGGAGCAUAAAAUAUGUAAUGAGUUUGAUUUAUAAAAUAUAACUUCAGCUACCAUGGAUUUUUUUUGUGUGUAUUCUCAUUUUGACUUCUCUGGCUAUUUUCCAUGUUGACUUUUCACAAUGUUUAUUGACGAUCUGUUAUGUGUGAUUGGGUGGCUGGUGGUACAAUAAGUAACACUUACUGAAAAUUUACUAUGUUUUAGUCGCUGUGCUAAAUGGUUCAUGUGUCUUGUUUCAUUAACUACUUAAAACAGCUCCAUGACUUAAGUAGUGCAGGUAUUGUCAUCAUAACAAUCUCACAUGUAAGGGAACAAAGACUCCAAGAGUUUAAGUAACUUGCCCAAGGACAUACAGUUAAUAAAUGUGAUGUGAACCCAGUCCUAUCCGACUGU
rnacentral:lncRNA from 1 species